UACGAAGGGCGCAAGCGUUGUCCGGAAUUAUUGGGCGUAAAGGGUAGGUAGGUGGUUUCGUUUGUCUGGGGUGAAAGCCUUGAGCUUAACUCAAGAAGUGCCUCGGAAACGGCGAAACUCGAGUACUGGAGAGGGUCGUGGAAUUCCCGGUGUAGCGGUGAAAUGCGUAGAGAUCGAGAGGAACACCGAUGGCGAAGGCAAUCCCCUGGACCUGUACUGACGCUCAUGCACGAAAGCGUGGGGAGCAAACAGG
rnacentral:rRNA from 1 species